rnacentral:lncRNA from 1 species
AUAAACCUGCCAUUGAUAUCACAUAAUAUCAGUGUUCUUUCUCACUCGAUACAGGCGUUUUAAAGAUAAAUGGUAAAACUGAACUGGAAAUCCAUCUGGCCGGCUGCCUGCUCUAAUGAAUAACCCCACUUUGGCUCGUGCAAUGACUUCUUCCCUUUGGAAAGCAGUGUGGUGGCAGUGUCACAGGCAUCCUGUGUGUUUGCAGCAGGUUCCUUCCAGAAGCAGCUGAGGAAGACAGCAAGCAAGUGGCAUUUGGGGUCUUGUAUCAUGUUGGAACACAGCCGUAGUACAUAGACUUCCUGAAAAAAAGACUUCCAGGUAAAAACAUAUUGUGGACACGGUAACAAAUUGGAGAGGGUCAAGCAUCAGGAACACAUGUUCCCUUUUGGCUUCAAAGCCUGUGAUAUUUGUG